UGGCUAUGUUUGAGCAACUUUCACCAUCAAUAAUAACUCUACAAAGCUUACCUUGUACAUGGCAGCGAGUAUGAAAGAGAUGUUCUCGUUGCUGCUCGCUCUUUGGUUUUGCCAAAGAUGAUUGUCCAUGAUCAUGAAAAUCAUCAUCCAUUCUAGGGACACGUUGAGGGCUGCACCUAUGGGGCUGGUUAUCCCUAUCUUCCUUAAUUGGAUCUCGAUAUUGAUGUUUUUGAUUCACUCGUACCUCG
rnacentral:lncRNA from 1 species